rnacentral:rRNA from 1 species
GACUCUCGGCAACGGAUAUCUCGGCUCUCGCAUCGAUGAAGAACGUACCGAAAUGCGAUACUUGGUGUGAAUUGCAGAAUCCCGUGAACCAUCGAGUUUUUGAACGCAAGUUGCGCCCGAAGCCACUCGGCCGAGGGCACGUCUGCCUGGGCGUCACGUAU